UGGGGAAUAUUGCACAAUGGGCGAAAGCCUGAUGCAGCGACGCCGCGUGAGCGAAGAAGUAUUUCGGUAUGUAAAGCUCUAUCAGCAGGGAAGAUAAUGACGGUACCUGACUAAGAAGCACCGGCUAAAUACGUGCCAGCAGCCGCGGUAAUACGUAUGGUGCAAGCGUUAUCCGGAUUUACUGGGUGUAAAGGGAGCGCAGGCGGUGCGGCAAGUCUGAUGUGAAAGCCCGGGGCUCAACCCCGGUACUGCAUUGGAAACUGUCGUACUAGAGUGUCGGAGGGGUAAGCGGAAUUCCUAGUGUAGCGGUGAAAUGCGUAGAUAUUAGGAGGAACACCAGUGGCGAAGGCGGCUUACUGGACGAUAACUGACGCUGAGGCUCGAA
rnacentral:rRNA from 1 species